rnacentral:lncRNA from 1 species
ACCAACGCUGAAGCAUGCAGCCGCCUUAAGGCCGAUAUAUGCUCUGUUUUAGACGUAACGCGUAAGCACGUAAGAUAUAUAACCCCCCCUUGUAUGGCGAGUGGAUAGUGCCAAACCUAAGGAUUCCCUGGAAAAGGCGAAGGAGCAGCCUACCCUACGUCGCCGUGGGAACGUGUGAAAUUUUGAAUGGGAUUGAUUGGGACUGCAGACGAGAGACCAGCAGCGACGUCACGGCGACGGCAUGGAAGAUCCGCCCACCGGCGGCGGUGUCACGGCGACGUACAGAAGGAAAUUCAGACAAAAUGUACGUCUACUCUCGACGUGUGGAUAAGUUCGUCGCCACUCAGACGCCUGCUACCCUACGUCGCCGUGGGAACGCCUGAACUUGGAGGGAGAAGCCCAGCACAGUGACCUGACUGCAAUCGUGUGUUUGAGGCACUUUUCAUCCAACUCUACGAGCAGUACUGUGGAUCAAGGCGCGUAUGUGGAGUCAGGCACCAUUGUUUGAGCCAUACCCCCACAUCCGGCAAGUCAUUAUUAUUAAUAUCAUGGUGAUGGAGAAAAGCACCACCCGGCUCCAAGUGAUAAAUACUGCGACAAUCACAAGAUGUUGAGUUUAUAAACACUUUACCCAGCCAGUAAUAACCUAGUAUCUGUGCCAUUUCCUGUGUAGCCAUGUUGUCAUCUGAUAUUAUGCUUUGUUAUACAAAAAAGGUAAUACUUUUAGGCACUGCACAGGGAGAACUGUCGCGAGCCCAUAGAGGCUCCAUCUUCUGUUCUGAGGCCUGCUCCUGAGCUUCCUCUCCAGUCAACCAAACCAGCUCUUCAACCACUUGCCCACACCUCCACUUCUCCUGCCUGCCUCCCAGAUUCUGGUUCCUGUGGUUCCGGUUCUAAACCUGCAGAAGCGUCUCUGAUGUCCCUUACACCACCCAGCGCUACCACAAAAAUGAAAGACAGGAGGCAAGGAGAAGACUGGCAAAAUAGAGAGGAAUUACUCUAGGGGCCAGAGUGUAUAAGUGCAUAAUUAAUUCUGAAUGUUGAGCAUAUUCAUGUGAGAAGUGUAUUUUAGACAAGUACACCCCUACAGAAACUUACAUAAUUGUAUUGUCUAGUCAUUAUUUUUGCCAUUAAUUGUUUAAGUCAUUUUUUCUUGUUGUUUGAUUUCAUUGUGCAGUAUACAUUGUGCUCCACUUAUUUUUACACAGGCAUAGUAUUGAUUUGUGUAGUACCACAGGGUGGAUUUGACCUUUCUGUCCUCUGAAACCUUAACACUUUGUAGUUCAGUACUGACAUGAAUGUUUAUCAAAAAAGUGUCGUUAUUAAUGUGUCGUCUUUGUCCGUGUAUAUUUGCAGAAAUGUAAGUAAAGAGAAACUCUUCAAAGCACUCUGACUUUCAUUAUUCAAGUGUGAUACAUUCACAGUGUUUCGGUGGCAUAUAUGAACGACACGAGGGCUGAG